UACGUAGGGUGCAAGCGUUACUCGGAUUUAUUGGGCGUAAAGCGCAUGUAGGCGGUUUUGUAAGUUUGAUGUGAAAUCCCUGGACUCAAUUCAGGAACUGCAUUGAAUACUGCAAGGCUAGAGUAUGAGAGAGGUAGGCGGAAUUCCUGGUGUAGAGGUGAAAUUCGUAGAUAUCAGGAGGAACAACAGAAGCGAAGGCGGCUUACUGGAUCAUAACUGACGCUGAGAUGCGACAGUGUGGGGAGCAAACAGG
rnacentral:rRNA from 1 species